AACGCGAAGAACCUUACCUACUCUUGACAUCCUGCGAACUUGGUAGAGAUACCUUGGUGCCUUCGGGAACGCAGAGACAGGUGCUGCAUGGCUGUCGUCAGCUCGUGUUGUGAAAUGUUGGGUUAAGUCCCGUAACGAGCGCAACCCUUGUCCUUAGUUGCCAUCAUUUAGUUGGGGACUCUAAGGAGACUGCCGGUGACAAACCGGAGGAAGGCGGGGACGACGUCAAGUCAUCAUGGCCCUUACGAGUAGGGCUACACACGUGCUACAAUGGCAAGUACAGAGGGCCGCGAAGCCGCGAGGUGGAGCUAAUCUCACAAAGCUUGUCGUAGUCCGGAUUGGAGUCUGCAACUCGACUCCAUGAAGUCGGAAUCGCUAGUAAUCGCAAAUCAGAAUGUUGCGGUGAAUACGUUCCCGGGUCUUGUACACACCGA
rnacentral:rRNA from 1 species